AGGCCGCCGCGGCGGCGCCCGCCCGCGCCUCCAUCCGGGUCCUGGCGCGGUGCUCUCCCGGCAGCGACGGGCGCGAGGGCCGGGGCAUUCCCACGGCCGCGACGGCCCUCUCCGCGAGCGCGAGGUGGGUAUGGCGGACGCGGCAGCGAGCGCGGGUCCGUCGCCAUUUUAUUUCGCGGAGACUCGCGGCAGCGGGUGGGCAGAAUGGGAGAGCCGUGCGCCGGCCCGCGCCUGUCCGGCUAACGCGGGCUGGGACUGGUGGGGCGGCCUGCCCCCUCCAGCGGGCGGGUGGCCCCGGGGGGCCGGCGGGCUGCUAGCGGAAGUCGCGGGCGCUCGGGGCACGGGGGAGGGGUGCCGCGUGGCCGCCGCGGGGCCGGCUCCAACCCCCUCCGCUUCCCGCCCAGCUCCUCACCGACAGGGCGGGGGAGGGGGGGUCAUUCUUCACAUUCCUUACCCCGCCCUUCCCCCCGCUUCAAUCAAACUUGGGGCGGGCGGAAGGCCCGCCUUCCGGCCGGCGCCUGUUGGCCGGCGCCGCCUCUGACUGUGGCGUGACUGGUUGUAGGCGCCGCCAGGUGCCUCUGACGUCACUUCCGCUAUCAAGUUUGUGGGCCGGGGAGACCUUGGCCUUGGGGGUUGGGAUGAAGGAGGGAAGGUAGGAAGUGCGAGGGGCGGGGGGACAGGGCGGGAAGGCGCGGGCGGGGAGGGCGGGAGAGUCGUGGCUGGCUGCAUGCCCCUGCUCCCCGCGGCCAAGUGCAGCCUCCCUUCCUGAAGCAGCUGCUGCGGCUGGAGGUCCGCUGCGGCAGCCGUCCUUGGCGAGGGGGAGGGGAACGCGGGAGCGGGAGGAAAUCGUAUCCCGGGGGACGGGGCUUGGAGAUUUGCGACUCGGUGUCACCGGAAACAGCGCUGGCCUUUUGAGUCGACGCUGCAAACUCUUGGAACCGAGUGCCUCUCAGAAGGCUUGCUAAUAAACUUCCCGGGCGGGCUCUAGUGUGAGGAAUGUGGUAACCUGUAUGUCCUUGGCCAGUAAUGCCCUUCGGUCUUUCAACUUUUUACAGUAGAUUCUGUGUCAGAGGUAAUGGUAUGUAUUCUUCAACUUACCGGUUUUUAAAAAAUUGACUAACGAGAGGGCGGGCAGACAGGAAAAAGGCAGGGAAGACAGUGAAUGUUAAAAUUUUGAGGUAAAUCAGGAGACUGGUUGAGUUUUGCUUUUUAACUUCAUUGAUAAUACUGCUUUCUUGGCAUACAGUUCCUAAAGUUAAAGCAUCAUGUGGCAUUCCUUUGCAUUUAUUUCUGUUGGCCUGAAGUAUAAGAACAUUGAAUGUCAAAUUCCAAAUUUAUGUGUAGUUUAGGAAAUAAUUGUUUAUAUCCAGAAUUCUUUUGGUGUUUGGCGGGGUCUGGUUUUAUUUACUGUAUAUUCGGGAAGUAUGUGUAGUUAGGGAAGUAAAAACUUGGAAGUUACUUUGGGUUUUGUGAGAAUGUUUGAUUCAUUAUACAUAUUUGUUAAAAGUUUACUUUGAAACUUCAACUUUGAGAAUAGACAAAUUUCUUGACGUCCUGUAAAUUCAGUGGUAUUAUAUAGCAUUUUAAAAUUUAUCACUUAGGUGCAAUUACAGUGUGAGGGGAAAAGUUAACUUUUUUGAAUAGUUACAUUGCAGUGACAGCAAGAGAGUAUUUUUAUGUGUAGACAGGCUGUGGGUUCCCCUCACUUAAAUUGAAGCUCUGUUGAACUUGAGACACUUAAGAAUCUUGCAAGUGUGAAAAGUGGAGUGAAACAAAACCAUUUCUAAAACGAAAAUGUGUAACUGCGUUCAGUUUUACACAGUGAAGAAAUAAGUAUUAAACAAGUUAGUCUCAAACGUUUAUAUCUUAAGGUCAUUUUAUUCCUGUUAUCAUUAACUAGACAUAUCUUGGUUUAGAGAGCAGCACACAAGACAUUGUGUACUUUUAAUAGCUAAGAUAGUAUAAUAACUACUCAUAUGGGAAUUACCGAGUGUUAAGAGCGCCAAACUAGUGUUUCAAACUGUAGGUCCUGAGUUAUAGGGUCAUGAAGUCACUUUAGUGGGUGGUGAUCCGAAUUUUUUAAAAAGUAGAAAAUAUUCCAUUGAAUACAAAAUAGCGUGUUGAUUCAGCUCGACACAUGUGUAUUCCUGUAAAAUAAUCCUGUGAAGCUGAGUGUCAAAAGUUGAAAAACAACUUCUGUAGGGUGUUUUUCUCGUUUAUAGCAUUGUGUAAAGUAUUAUAGUUUAAUAUUUUUUAACGAGUAUUAAAUGGGCUGUUUAUAUUUGGUGGAACAUGAGCCACCUACUUUAGUUUCACAAGUUGGGAAGUAAAUUUGCCAUCCAGGACCAGUAUGCGUUUUAAUCAUAGUAUUUUUAAUAGCCUGUGAAGCUUUUCUUUAGACCAUAAGAGGUCUUUUCCAUCCCAUAAUAUUUAUUGCCAAUUAUUUAUCCAUGUCUAGAUGAGACUAGAAGAAUCCGAAUCCCCAGUAAUGAGUUGUCAGCAUUGCUUAAUGUGACCUCAGGACUGAUCAUCAUAUGCUUUUUGCCUGUGUAGGUGUUCUAAGCGUUGUAUAAUCACUUAAGAAUGGACUUCAUUAAAUAGACAAAAUAUGAGAGCCAUUACACUAUUUUUGGUAUUAAGUCUUUGAAAUCCAGACUGUUUUACACUUGCAACACAUACACUUGGGGCUAAUCACAUUUCAGGUGCUCAGUAGCAACAUGUGACUAACAGCUACCAAAUGAACAGUGCAGUUCUAGUGCACUGUUUUUAAAAAAAUUAGAUUUUUUUUUAAAAUUAGAUUUCUCUAGCUGAAUAGUUGUAGUUUCAGAUAAACAGCCAAAAAUGUUCUGUCUCUCCACAGCUUCAUCUCAAUUGUGAAGAAAUUGCAUUAGGUGAUUUUUUUUUUUUUUUUUUUUUAAAUAAUAGAAACAACGUCUCACUAUGUUGCCCAGGCUGGUCUCCAACUCCUGAGCUCAAGUGAUCCUUCUUCCUCAGCCUCCCAAAGUGCUAAGAUUACAGGUGUGAGCCACCGGGUUCCUGGCCGAAUCAGGUGAUUUCUUAGGCCCUUUCUAAAUACAAGGUUUAAGUGUUUUGAGGCAGCCGACAGCUAUACCUUUAAGUCUCUUGCUUCUCUAAGAAUAAGACAUUUUGGAUCAUUUGUUCUACCAUAACGUAAUGAAUACAAGUUGGGAGCAUUUUGCUCUUCUGUUAAGCACAGUUGGCCUUCCUGUCCAAGGAUUUUUGCAUCCUUGAAUUCAACUAACCUCAAAUGGAAAAUAUUUGGGGGAAAAAAAGUAUGUACAACAAAAAUAAUAUGAUCAAAAAUAAUACAGUAUAACGACUAUUUACAUAACUUUUACAUUGUAUUAGGUAUUGUAAGUAAUCUAUGUAGGAGGAUGUGUGUAGGUUACAUGCAAAUAUGACACCACAUUUUAUAAGGGACUUGAGCAUCUGAGGAUUUUCCUCUGGGAGAAGGAGGUAUCCUGGAGGCAAUCCCCUGAGGAUACUUUUCUACUUUGUGUGAAUUUUUCAUUAACAGGAAGUUACAGUACUUUUCUGGUCACCUGAGAAACCCACCCCAUAUUUUUAUUAGCCAAAUAUAUAAUUCUCGAAUGCUUAGAAUUCAUUUCUUAAUGAUUUCACUGUUGUGCAGUAUAGACUGUGAAUUGCCUACUAAGGAUACAGUUAAUUAUAGUAAACUGUGGAAUCUAGAUUAAAUAAUUACACCCUACUUUUUUUCUUGGCUUGUGGAUGUGUAGACUACAUAGUGGUUUUUUCAACCCAGGAACAUAACAGUAUAAUGGAGGAUAGGAAGGCAGAAGAUGUUUAAAGGGUUGAGAAAUAAUGGUAUAUGUAUAAUGGUCAGUAAGCAGAACAAGCCAGCCAAGUUGGAUAUUCUUCAAGACUAUCUUAAGUGUCUGCUAUGUGUCUAAGUGAAAGGAAAUAAGCAAUAGUCCUUUUGGGAAACCUGACCUAGUACUUAGCUAUUUCAGACUUAAUGUGAUGUUUGAUAGAGUAGGAAAUAAGAUCUUAAAUUAGAAUUAGGUUAAAUUGCUUUAGAGAAACUUAUUUAUAAAUGUAAAGAAUUUAUUAUCUCAUGUGUUGCACAUGCUCUAUCGAAGGGAGCAAAAUACUAUUGGAGAGUUUGCUUAUUAAUGUAAUACUCAGCCUGCAUCAUUGUCGGAUAAUUUUGUUGAUAAUUCAACUAUUUGAGAUUGAAAGAAAUCUGUUAAAGUAGCCAGUGUUGUAAUUUUGAUCUGUGUUUGAUUACAGCGUAUGAAACAAAAAUGAGACUGGAGGAAAUAGUUUACUUGUGAACUUUUUGAGCUACUUUGUUUUAGGAGUAUUUAAAUUAAUGUAAAAGUGUAGGGAAAUGUCUUAGCUCAGAAAAUUUAAACUUACUAGAUAUUAAGUGCUUAAAAGGUAGAGUAUGCUUGCAUUUCAACUAAAGUUUAGAGUGUUUUAGGAAAUUAGAGGCUAUUUUAAAAAAUAUUUUGAAGUUAGGAGUGUGUUCCUAAGUGUUUUCACCAUAAGAAAAUAAGUCUGUGGGGAUAGUACAUAUGUUAAUUAACUUGAUUUAGCUAUAAUAUAAACCUAUUUUAUGUACACCAUAAAAAUAACAAUUUUUAUGUCAAUUUGAAACAAAUUCAUUACAAAAAUGAAAUUAGGAAUGUGAAUGUUAAUAAGUUAUGAAAACUUACUUGAUGUAAAUGUAGAUAUAGACAAGUCUAUAACUAAUAGAUUUGCCUGCUUUGUAGCAUGCUUUAAAUUGAUAAUAUUUUUAACUAUCACAAGUAUAUCUGGAAAGGUAAAAUUCCUGUUAGGAUAGUUUGUCAAAUUAAUUUAUUAAGUACAGUUGCCAUUUGUUGAGUUAAUUUCUCAGUCAUUCAAUAUCUUUGCAUGUAUCCCAGUCCUGACAGCAACCCCAUGAGGUGUGGCUGUUACAGUUCCCCCAAAUGGCGAUGAGAGAACACAGCCACUAAGUAGCUGCUUGGCUGCUUGACCCUGAAACCAUUGCCCUUAACCAUUUUCCUGUACUGGUAUGCUGAGCUGAAUGAAAUGAAGAUACAUUUUGUGUAAGUUGAAUUUUGACUUUUAGUUGCCAUAAAUUAAUUAAAUAAUUUAUUAUUGUAUAUAUUUUUUUGAGACAGUUUUGCUCUUCUUGCCCAGGCUGGAGUGUAAUGGUGCGAUCUUGGUCUACUGCAACCUCUGCCUCCUGGGUUCAAGCGAUUCUCCUACCUCAGCCUCCUGAGUAGCUGGGAUUACAGGUGCCUACCACCAUGCCUGGCAAAUUUUUGUAUUUUUAGUAGAGAUGGGUUUUCACCAUGUUGGCCAGGCUGGUCCCAAACUCCUGACCUCAGGUGAUCCACUCGCCUGGGCCUCUCAAAGUGCUGGGAUUAUAGGUGUGAGCCACUGUGCCUGGCCAGUUGCCGUAAUAUAUAUAUAUUUUUUUUGAGACCGCAUCUUGCUCUGUUGCCCAGGCUGGAGUGCGGUGGCAUGAUCUCGGCUCCAUGCAACCUCCACCUUCCAGGUUCAAGCGAUUCUUCUGCCUCAGCCUCCCGAGUAGCUAGGACUACAGGCGCAUGCCACCAUGCCUGGCUGAUUUUUUUAUUUUUAGUAGAGAGGGGGUUUCACCAUAUUGGCCAGGCUGGUUUCGAACUCCUGACCUCAUGAUUUGCCCUCCUGGGCCUCCCAAAGUGCUGGGAUUACAGGCAUGAGCCACUGUGCCUGGCCAUUUGCCAUAACUUUUAAUGAGAGGGUAGUUCCAGCUACAGAUUGAGGUAGUAUGUGAAUAAGGAUAGAAAGUGGAUAUAAAAGUAUUUUUGUUACUUUUUAAGAAAGAAUUAUCAGAAGGCUCAAAUUCUGAUAAUUUUAGCUAAUAGUAUUCUACCUAAGAAGUAAACAAAGGCCCAGAAAUUAGAUGAUAUGUCCAAGGACAUAGUAAAUGGGGAGCCAGCAUUAACUGUAGACAGAAAAACUUCAAGUCCUAAAUGUAUACUAGCUAUCAACCCACUCUUUCCCAGUACGCAAGCAUUACAUAGUUGUGAUUAGUUAGUUAGGGCUUUUAAUUAACUUCCAAAUGAAUAUUUCCAUGGGUUCUUGUAAUCCAUAAAUUCAUGGAUUAUGUUCAGUGUUUAUGAGAGCUGGCCCUAACUGAACAUUGCUCGGCUGUUUGGUUUUAGUUUCCACCAUUUGCUGUAAUCAGUGUUUUCUAAACUGCAGGCUGGGAACCAUUAGAUUAUAAAAUCAGUUCAUGUAUAUAAUAAAAUAACAUAUUAGAGUAAGUAUUGAUUUGUGAACAAUAUUAUUUAUUGGAUUACUUAUAUACAUAUACUUUUCAAAAAAUUGAGGGUCAUGUUAAUAGCACUUGGUAUGUAAAUUACCAGAAUGCUUUCUAGCAAUAUGGUAUUUAUUUACAUAGCUGGAUUGAGAAAGAAUAAUACAAAGUAAGCAUGUGACACCAAGGUUGGAAAAAAAAUGUGUUUUUGAAUGUUUGAUGAGGAUUCAAACAUGUUUUAAAUGAGAAAAUCGGUAGGAGGUUGAGGAUUGUAGUAGAAGUACCAGAUGCUUUUUCUUUUAGCUGUUUUUUUUCGUUGCUGUUGUUUGGUUGGUUUUGGUUUUGGUUUUUUUUUUUUUUUUUUUGGCUGUUAUUGUUUUAAAAGUAAGGACUAGGCCGGGUGCAGUGGCUCACGCCUGUAAUCCCAGCACUUUGAGAGGCGAAGGCAGGCAGGCAGGCAGAUCACCUGAGGUCAGGAGUUCGAGACCAGCCUGGCCAACAUGGUGAAACCCCGUCUUUACUAAAAAUACAAAAAUGAGCUGGGCGUGAUGGUGGAUGCCUAUAAUCCCAGCUACUUGGGGGGCUGAGGCAGGAAAAUCGCUUGAACCCAGGAGGCGGAGGUUUCAGGAGCCAAGAUCACACGGUUGCACUCCAGCCUGGGUGACAGAGCAAGACCUCGUCUCUAAAAAAAUAAAAGUAAGGACAGUGCUGAUUCAUGGGAAAUAUUUUGGCUUAUAAAGGGCCUGACGUUAGGGACAAGUGUGUCUGUGAGUUCCUAGUUUGCAUAACCUGGCCUUGUAGAAUUGAAAUGGUCUCAAAUGUAGUAUAGUUUAGUGAUGCAGUACUGUCUCUAAUUUGGGGCAAGUUAUUAAGCUUCUUACCACCAGUUUUCAUCUAGAGAUGAUGAAGUAGUUGGACCUUACAUAUUUUGGAUAUAUGGUAUUAAUAAAUCUUUCCCUUUUUGUUACAGACGUGUUGAUACUGCAGCUAGGAAAGCUGAGGGACUUCGGCUAAAUUUCUUUUGCAAGAUUUCAAUGGCAGAGAAUUAGUAGGGCCAGGAUUUGAACCCUGGUUUUUAUUGACUCCAAAUGAGUAAUGCUGUGAACAUUCAAAUACACGUUUUUUCAAUUCUCUUGCCCUUUUUUUUUGCGGGGAGGGGCAGGGUCUCACUCUCUUGCUCUGACUGGAGUGCAGUGGUGUGGUCAUAGCUUACUGCAACCUUUAACUCCUAGGCUCAAGCAAUCUUCCUGCCUCAACCUCCUGAGUAACUCAGCUGGGACCAUAAGCCUGCACCACCACACCCAGCCAUGUUCAGUUCUCUAGAGUAUAUACCUAGAAAUGGAAUUGCUGGGUCAUAUGGUGAACUGUUUUUUACUCAUCACUAACCAGUUCUGACACCAACAAUCAAUUCUUCAACUCGACACCAACAGAGUGUCCUACAAUUAAAUUUAAUUCUGAAACUACCUGAAGUUAGUACAAACUUCACAGGUUGAGGGCUCAAACACGUAAGACUGCCCCCGCUUCAGAUGCAGGUUUCUACCUGAAUUUUUAACCAACCAGCUAUAAAUUAGGGGGUUUCACAACCUCUUCCACUGGGUCUAUAAUUUGCUAGGAUGGCUUACAGAACACAGGAAGACACUCAUUAUCACUGGUUUAUUAUAAAGGAUUUAAAUGAAUAGCCAGAUGAAGAGGUCCUUAAGCUGAAGUCCAGGAGGGUUCCUAGCACAGGAGCUUCUGUAUCUAUGGAGUUAGGGUUACACCAGCCUCCUGGCAUGAAGAUGUGUUUUUCAACUCAGAGCUGUCCAAACCCUGACACUUAAGGGGUUUUUAUGGAGGUUUCAUACUUAGGCAUGAUUGAUUACAUUAUUGGCCUUUGAUGAUUGGCUUACUCUCUGUCCUCUCUGCUUUACCUGGAGGUUGAGGGGGUGAGGCUGAAAGUUCCACCCCUCUAAUCACACCUUGGUCUUUCUGGUGACUAUCCCCCUCCUGAAACUACAGGAGCCACCAAUCGACUCAGUAGCAUUAAACAGACAUUCAUCACUUAGGAAAUUCUGAGGGUUUUAGGAGCUGUAUGCCAGCCAGGAUCUUCAAAUGGAGACAAAGACGAAAUACGUGUUUCUGAUUCCACUUAACAACUGUUUGACUUGUCUACAAGUUUUGUUCUCCAAAGCAGCUGCACCAUUUCACAUUCCCACCAGCAAUCUAAGGGUUCCAAUUUUCUCCGCAUCCUUGUCAACACUUUUAUUAAUCUUAUUAGCCAUCCUAAUGAAUAAUGUAUCUUUUCAUGUGCCUGUUGGCCAUUUGUGCUUAUGAGUCAUAUCUUUGGUGAAAUAUCUAUUAAAAUAUUUUACCAUUAAAUUAGGUUGUUUUAAGUUACUUUAAUGUGUGUUUUGCACACCAGUUUACAAAGAAUGCAGAUCCAUUUUUUUUGCAUGUGGCUAUACAGCCGUCAGCAUUAUUUGUUGAAAAAACGAUUCCCAGUUGAAUUGUCUUGUCAUGGUUGAAAAUCAGUUGACCCAUGUAUGGGUUUAUUUCUAGACUUUAAAUUCUAUUAUAUUGAGCCGUAUGUUUUUUAUUACGUUUUGUAAUUUUAAAAAUUAGUGCUUUUGGUUACUAAAUCACUACAAAAUAAAUUUAGUCCCUAUCUUAAAAGAUAAUCUUCGUAGUAGCUACCUCCUAAAUAUGAAGUCUGUAAAUUAAAGGGUAAUAAUACAGUUUAGAUUACUUGGGUUUAUUAAAGAUUUUGGACUCUGCCUUCAAUCCACAUAUUACCUUUCUAUCUAAAGGAAAGGAUCCUGACCCUGAAUCAGAUCCAGGUGAUUAUCUUUGAUUUAGUCCUAAUAAGACCACUUAGUGUUUGCUCGCAUGGGAUAAAUGAGUAGGUUCCUUUAAAAAUUAGUUUCUAUUUGUGUGUGUUUUUUAUAUUAUCUCGUUGUAUGUUAGUGCAUUUGGAUUAUGCAUGAUGUACAGGACUUUUGGGUUUUGAAGUCAUUGGAUUUUUAAUUAGAGGCUGUCAUGUUUUUCUGUAAUGAUUUUUUGUUGUUUCUUGAAGGAUAAGUUAUUUCAUGCAUUUUCAUUUGUAGGAACUGUAAGAAAACCAGCAGUUAAUAAUAGUAAAAGGUGGUGGUAAGAGGGUGAUUUCUGAAUCUUGUAAAUACAUGGUUUUAGGAGCGGAUUCAGAUAACCAAGCAUUUAAAAUACUAUUAAUGAAAUACAGGAAAUGAAACCACAGCAUAGAUUAUGCAUGUAGCCAAAAUGUUCAGUUAAACUUCAUUUUCAACGUAAGUGAAUGAAAAUGGUCUAAUACUAUUUUUCUUAUCACUCACACAGGAAACCAGGAUUACCGAGGAGGAAAAAAAGCCUUCCUGUGGUGCUCAACUGUGAUUCCUUUUCACCAUUCACCCUGGAUGUUCUCUUCACUGUGGGAUGAGGUAGUAGGUUGUAUAGUUUUAGGGUCACACCCACCACUGGGAGAUAACUAUACAAUCUACUGUCUUUCCUAACGUGAUAGAAAAGUCUGCAUCCAGGCGGUCUGAUAGAAAGUCAGUUAACUAAUUGUACAAUAUUUAAGAUUAACUUGUCUUAAAGAGAUGUAGUGCAGCAUUUGUUUAUGGCCUGGAAAUAAAUUAAUUUAGAGAUAAAGUCUGUAGCAAGUACACUGGAUGGGGGUGGGGAAACCUUUUGCUUCUUGUCUUAUUUCUCUGUGUCAGAAUAAAUGUAUUUUUUUAUUUUGAUUUAUGCUGAUAAUUUUAUGUUGAAAUUUUCUUUCGAAAGAGAUUGUACUUUCCAUUCCAGAAGAAAACAUUGCUCUAUCAGAGUGAGGUAGUAGAUUGUAUAGUUGUGGGGUAGUGAUUUUACCCUGUUCAGGAGAUAACUAUACAAUCUAUUGCCUUCCCUGAGGAGUAGACUUGCUGCAUUAUUUUCUUUUUAUUUAGAUGAUAUUAAAACUCAGAAGAAUUAAUUUUGACAUUUUGUAUUUACAGUUUAUCAGUUAAUUUUCUCUGUUCAAGUAGUACAGUAGGCACAGAUUAACAUUUAAAUUUUUCACAUAUGGUAUAUUUCAGAAAUUUGAAGUUAAGCAAAAAUUUUAAUGAGUAGAGAAAGUAAGUAGCCUUCAGGAAAUCUUCAUAGAGGACCAGGCCCUUUUGGAAUUGUGAAUAGGUUUAUUGCCUUACAUCCUGGUACACAUGUCCAAGGUCAGGUCCUGGGUGGUAAAGGUAAAUACAAAUUGGAAGGGCACUGUGUGAGCCAAAAUGAGUCAGAUUAGUCAUGAUUCAUUUCCAGUUUGGGUUUUGGGUGGUCUUGGAGAAUGUUGUAAGCACUGCUUCAUUGAUAGGUUGAUUGAGCCAGACUUUACUCAGCAGCCUGGAAAAGGAGAGAUGGGCUCUGGGUUCUACCUUUGCUCACUGGUAAGUUGCUAAGAUUUCAGCUUUGCCCUCAAACCCUGAAGUAGUCCUUCAUUCACACAGUGGGAUCACUCGAAAAUGUCAGAUGGGGAAGUCCAUAGGUUGUUACUUUAAAGAAAAUAGAAAAAAUGCUGGAAAAGGUUUCUUCAAUUUUAAUACCCAUGAAGGCCCAUGUUUUAGCUUUCCUCCGAUGGGCAAACCAUACACUAACUUGGGCCUUGUAAUCAACAAGCAAGGCUAAAAGCUCUCUAAGUGCUUGCUGUUUAAACUAUUUUGUGUUGGAAGAAGAGUUGGAAAAGAGGCAGUGUGGAGGUGAGGGAGAAGUUCCCUCCCUCCAAUCAUUUCCAAUAAAUGGAAAUUUAAGGAGAAAUUUGUGUUUAUCCUUAAUAUCUAAGAUAAUCACUGUGCAGUGCCAUUGGUACUUUUCAUGAGAGUAGAAACAUCAAACUUCCUUGGAUGGGCCCAACCCAGGUGACUUAACUCUGGACCAAAUGUAUGCUUUUUGUUUUAUCCACUGUGGACAGCUGCAUAGAUAAUUGGUCUUUGUUCUAAACUGCACAUAAAAACAUGGGAGAAAAUGACAUUUGUUGCCUUUUGAUGUGCCAAAGAAGAGUGGGAAUGUUCUAAGAAUUCUUUUUGGCUUAAUCUUUGUUGAAUUGAAAAUAUGUAUAACUCUUCUGCUGAAAGUGUAGCAAGUACAGUCAUGAAAUUUUGUGGUCUUCCUGACAUGUUCUUCCAGCAUAACGUUGCCACCUUCAGUUGGAAACGUAUCCUUAUCUAAUAAUUAAGCCCUGGAGAAAAAUUAAUUUAUAUAUUUUAUUAAUUACAUAAGGACAUUGUUAUUAGCUAAGCAGAGUAAGUAAAUCGAAAUAAAACUUUAAAAAUGCCUUUAUGGAGAGAAUGACUAUCUCUGAAAGCUUGUUUUUAAUGAUGAUAAAAUUCAUGAUCAGAAUUUGUUUCUGUUUGCUUUAAUUCAGGGGUCAAAAACUGAAAUACCAUCAGAGGCCCAGGAGGGGCUAGUUGUAACUGGCAAAUAUAGUAAAUUAAUUUGCUCUGGUUGAUAGGUAGCAAGCAGGGUUUAUAUACAUUGUCACCUACUUUUCCAGUUAACAGGAGAGACUGGAGAUUUUAUGAAAUUUGAUAUUUAAAUGUUGGUAACUGGGUUGGGCACCAUGGCUCACACCUCUAAUCCCAGCACUUCGGGAGGCUGAGGCGGGUGGAGCACCUGAGGUCAGGAGUUAAAGACCAUCCUGACCAGCCUGGUGAAACACAGUCUCUAAUAAAGAUACAAAAAUUAGGCCGGGUGUGGUGGCUCAUGCCGGUAAUCCCAGCACUUUGGGGAGGCCAAGGUGGGCGGAUCACCUGAGUCAGGAGUUUGAGACCAGCCUGCCUAAAUGGUGAAAACCUGUUUCUACUAAAAAUACAAAAAAGUAGCUGGGCGUGGUGGUGGGCGCCUGUAAUCCCAGCUACUCUGGGGGCUGAGGCAGGAGAAUCACUUAAACCCAGGAGGCAGAGGUUGCAGUGAGCCGAGAUCACACCACUGUACUCCAGCCUGGGUGACAGAGCGAGACUGUCCAAAAAAAAAAUUGAUAAUUAAAUGUUAAAAGUCAGCGACUCCAGUAAUACGUGGUGGGCUGAGUAUUAGACUACUGGCUUACAUCCUCUGAUGUCAUUACUUUCUUGUUCGUUUGUGACUUGAGGUUGGAUUUUAAGCAAAUGUAUUUGUGGCUUUUUACCAAGGUCAUAUGGCCAGAUAACUUUUCAAAAGCAUUAGUUAAAGAAUUCUGAUUAGUUUGAAUUAGAAACAAAACUCAAAGAACAUGACCUAAUUUAACAGGUUAAUUUGAAGUGCAUCUGCCAAGUAGAAGACCAGCAAGAAAAAAAAAAUGGGUUCCUAGGAAGAGGUAGUAGGUUGCAUAGUUUUAGGGCAGGGAUUUUGCCCACAAGGAGGUAACUAUACGACCUGCUGCCUUUCUUAGGGCCUUAUUAUUCACCGAUAACCUGUUUCCUUGCUACUUUGCUUUGGUGUAAGCAGAGUUCUUUCUGUAGGUUUUUUCAAAUGAAAACAUUGCAAGAAUAUCAAAGAGAGCAGUGUUUGCGUUAGUGAUUAUAAACUGCAGCAUGGUGCUGACAUUGAUAACUGAAAGUCAACUAAUGAGAAUUUGAGACUUCUGAAGUACACUUAGUUGCUAGUGUCUCCCUUUUGGUGUCACUGGAAAGUUUAGAAAGCAUGGUUUUGUUUUUGCUCAGGUUUCUCUUUCUGUGAUGCAGAGACUCUCAGCUGUUCCUCCUCUAUGUCUACAUUAUGUCUGAAGGAAAGAAUUUAACAAAACUUGAAAUACUGCUGUUUUUCUACAAUGUUUGUAAAUAUUUAUCUUGCUGCUUUUCUAGGUUUGUCUUCUGGAUUUAAAAUUUGGGGCGGCUGGGGUGGAAUUGCAUGGUUUGGGAAUGGGUAAUUGAGCUGCUGCUCAUUAUGGUAUGUAACAGUGAUUUGUCUGUUUAAUAUGUACAAGAACUGGAAGGUCAAUAAAAUGAAAGUGGUUGUCUUGACUGGGUAAUAGUGUUACAUAUUUUGUUAAAAGUUAUACAUCUUUUCAAUAAAAACACUGCAUACUUCAAAACUAGUGCUUUUUAAGUCAUCCUUAACCCUUAUCCCCAUCCUUGCAGUAGUAGAUGCAUUUUUCAUUUGUAAUUAUUAUGAUUUGUUCUUAGUUUCAUUUUUCAUUAGCAAUAAUUUGGUGAUUGGAUGGUCAUUUACAGAUGUUUUAAUAAAGCUAACACGAGCAAUUUCCAGCUCUUCCAUUUUUGUAAACACUUGUGUGACUUUGUACAGACAAUUAACUGCUCAGGAUCACCCUCCUUUUUGUUUUGUUUUUGAGAUGGUCUCAUUCCGUCACCCAUGCUGGAGUGUAGUGAAAUGAUCACAGCUCACUGCAGCCUUGACCUCCCGGACUCAAGCUUCCUAGUAACUGGGACUACAGGUGCAUACAACCAUGCCUGGCUAAUUUUAUUUUUGUAGAGACGGUUUCACCAUAUUGCCCAGACUGGUCUUGAACUCCUGAUUAUCCUCUGGCUUUUACCUCCCAAAGUGCUGGCCAGGACAGCCUCCUUUCUUUACUUGAGUAAUUAUUUGAGUUUGCUCAGGCAGACACUACCUUGUAAAAACUCUUAUGUCUCAUUUCACUAGUCUAGUUUGAGCAUUUAUCAUUCUAGGAAUGAGACGAAUUUGUGCAUUAGCAUUCCAUCUUUUUCCAACUACUAUGAACAGUAGUAUUUUUUUUUAUUUUAUUUUAUUUUUUGAGACAAAAUCUCACUGUUUCCCAGGCUAGAGUGCAGUGGUGUGAUCUCAGCUCACUGCUGCAACCUCCACCUCCUGGGUAGAGUAGACAGGAUUUAGGUAAUUUUUUGUAUUUUUAUUAGAGACAGGGUUUCACUAUGUUGGCCAGGCUGGUCUUGAACUCCUGGCCUCAAGUGAUCCACCGGCCGUGGCCUUCCAGAGUGCUGGGAUUACAGGUGUGAACCACCCUUGCCUGAUCAUGAGCAGUAAUACAUUUAAAAGUCUCCAGGGGUGAGAAAGUUGAAAGGAAAUUCAGUGGAGUUUCCCAUCCUGCCCCUCUGCUGCCUAGCCCCUUGCUCCAGUGGAAGGAAGAAUCGUGAUCUAGGGAUGUUCUCAUACUUGGGGCUUUAAAUUUCCUUUAUGAAUUGAGAUGGUUGGGUAUGUUUUCUAAGGUACCUUACAUGGUACAGUUCUUUAAAGUUGAAGAUUUAAGUUGUGGCAAAAUUGCAUCAAUUUCAUGUGCACUGAUUUAGGCGAAGAUGCGUAGGAAAAGAGCAAGGAAAUGAGGUGUGAUAGGAUUGGGGUAAUUUCAAAAUGAGUAUUUCUGCCUGGCCUAGUGGUUCACGCCUGUAAUCACAGCACUUUGGGAGGCCAAGGCAGGCAGAUCCCCUGAGGUCAAGAGUUCGAGACCAGCCUGGCCAACAUGAUGAAACCCCAUCUUACUAAAAAAAAGUAGCUGGCAUGGUGGUGGGCUACUUGUGAGGCUGAUGUAAGGAGAACCGCUUGAACCAGGGAGGUGGAGGUUGCAGUGACCAGAGAUUACGCUAUUGCACUCCAGCUUGGACGACAGAGCAAGACUGUCUUAAAAAUGUUUCUAGUUUCACUUAUUCUAAAUUUAUGUCUAACCAUUUUUAGUGAAGUAUUUGAGUCACAUCAGCUAGCCUUUUUCCUACAGCGUUGAAGUAAUUUUCUAGGUUCCUUGCUCUCCCCCCAUUUUAUUUCCUACUUUGCUUUCUGUUGUUGGGGUCCUAUGGGGAGGGCUGGGAAAGGAGUUGGGCCCUCUUAGGACUGGUCAUCAAUCUUUGUUCUGAGCAGUGUUUUGUUUUCUGGUUGAAUGGCUGACCUGAAGGAAGCAUCAGACUCCUUGGGAUUCUGAAAUCCUAUUUCUUGAUAGAAACCCAUAACUUAUUUUAGUUUGACUUAAAAACGAUCCAUAAGUAAGCAUGCAGGGUUGGUGUAACUGCAUUGAACUGGUAACAUCAGAAACACGGGUAGAAAUGAGGUACCCCAGUGAUACGGAAGCUUUGUGACUGAUGUCCUGGAUUCUUUCUAGCUUUUCUUCCAGCCCUAACACAUGGUUUCCAUUCUCAAGGUUACCUCUGUAACAACUGACUGCUAUAACUGGCCACGUCGUUUUUCCAUUCAUGAAGAUGGAAAAAGGAAAAGGCAGAAGGGACACUUUUAUGGUUGAAUUCAUUUAGUUUUCUCAAGAAAUGCCACCUAGUGACUCCUUUACGUGUAAUCCCUUGGAACUAUCACAGACUAGACCAAGGAAUCCUGGAAAGUGGUCCUGGCAGGACUGAUUGCCAGGCUGAAUACAAUCAGGGUCCCACUAGUAAGGAGGGGAGAAAGGAAAUAACACAGAUAGUUAUCUGCAGUAAUUGGCAUUAGGAAAAAAAACUUGACAAAGACUGACAAGCUCUGUUCCACUCCUGCCAUUUAAAGAAAAACACACACACGCAUAAAAACACCAAGUGGCCUCAGAUGGGCAGCACUCCUCCUGACCCUGGGCUUCAGAAAUUUUCACUGGGAGUCUGAUGAGGCUCAGCCACAGUUGUGUGGGACUGUUCUCAAUUUCAAGCAGAGGAGCAGAGAAAGCUGGUUAGUUGCGGAGGCUUCCCACAUUACUUGGACCCUACAAUAUAUAUGACUUCUAUCACAGGACAUGGUACAGAACUGGAACAAUAAAGCAUUUUUUAAAAUUUAAUUUCUUGAGCAAUUUUAGUUUCACAGCAAAAUUGAGCAGAAAGUAUAGUGUUCACAUAUACUUCCCUGUUUAUUACGCACACACUGCCUUCCUCACUACUGAAGUCCUGACCAUAAUGGUACAUUUUAAUAAAGCAGUUUGUUUUUCCCUUUUCUUUGAAGUUGUUCCAUCAUGAGAAUUAGGCUAAAAGUCUUAGCUUACUGCCCCAUGGAAGGAAGGACAAAUAGCAAUGACCAAGCAACGUAUUUUUAGCUUUGAGGCCAAAAUUGGCUGAAAAUGACAGAAGCAGUUACUUCAGAGAAAAUGAUUUUUUGCAGUUCUGCAUAAAUUUGAAGAGGUAAACCUGGAUUGCUGAGAACAAUGAGUUAUAUGCAGUGGACUAGAGGAAGAUGCAUAUUCAACCAUGUCUUUUUUUCCAUCCAAGAAGAGUUACUAGCAAGCAGUAAGAUGAGAGGAAAUGAAACCAGUCAGACUGCUGAGUGCUGGAGAAGCGGUCCCUGUGCACACUCCGGCAUGGGCAUGGUAGGACUACCUGUAUGGAUUAAGGGGAGUCAAGGGUCAGGGGAUGGUUGAUCUGCAUUUUUUUCCCCAGGGCAUAACCUGAGACCACAAAGCUUCUAGGGAAGGGUUGUGUACAUCAUGGCCCCACAGCAGUGAGAGGCUUGAAGAAUGCUCUGGCUAAAGACACGGAGGUGCUGUGGCAGGCACUGUUACUUGCCUACCCAAAUAUCCCCUUGCUGGGAGAACCUUGAUUUUGUUGAGGUAUGGAUCUCAGGAAAGUUACCCUAGUUUUUUGUCUAGGGGUAGGCAUGUGACCAGAUUUGAUCAGUGAGAUGUAAAGACCAGUGGUAGGGAGAGGGUUUCUUUCUUUUCUUCUCCCUCCCCCGACCCACCCCAGAGUCUCGCUUUGUCACCCAGGCUGAAAUGCAGGGGCGUGGUCACGGCUCACUGCUGCCUUGACCUCCCCAACUCAAGCGGUCCUCCUACCUCAGCUUCCCACAUAACUUGGACUUUACGCGCACACCGCCAUGCCUGGCUAAUUUUUUUCUGUUUUACAGACGGAGUCUUGCUAUGUUGCCCAGGCUGGUCUUGAACUCCGGGGCUCAGACAGUCCUCCCACCUUGGGCUCCCAGAGUGCUGGGAUUACUGCUGUGAGCCACUGCACCUGCCUGCAUCAUGCUUAGGUUUGAAUGUGGUUGUGUGAUGAUCAGAGCUGCUGCAGCCAUCUUGUGACCACGAAGGGUAGGUUAGGUCAAUAAUACCAACCAAGAGUUCUGACAUUACUGAGCUGUUGAGUCAAUGCCAGCAUCUGCUCUCCUCUACACUUUGUAUUAUAUGAGAAAAAUGAACUACCUUAUAGUGAAUGGGGGUUAUGAGACUUGCAGGGAAAAGCUCUCCUCACAGGAUCCCACAUAGGGAAGUCCAGGGAAAGCCCCUAAAUGUGAGGGAAGAGGAAAGGUGCUAAGGGGCCAUCAGGAAGAAGCCUAUGGCUUAGAUAAGGAUGGUAGACAAUGGAUCUCUGACAUCUGUAGCAGGACCCUGAACGUGAGCAUGAACAUGAAGUGGUAAGAGGCUGAUGGCAAGACCACAUUUCUGAAACUGGGAUCUUACAAGUGGCAGGCAGCAAGGACCAAGCUCAAGACAGUAUGGACCAAACAGUAAGGACACCCCUUCUUAGUGCUGACAUGAGUUAAGCCCUUUGGAAAUUUAGAUCCUCUUGAAUUUGAUAAACUAACUCUCCUAAAAACUGCUUUAAAUCGAGACAGUUCUCUUAAAUGGAUGAAAUUUCAGUGUUCUGCCAUUAGUAGACAUGGGGGCUCAAGAUACUCGGCAACAAAAGUUUUUGUUACAUUUUUGCUCUCUUGAAUGGCAACUGUAAACUUUGAACCUCUGCAGUUACCCUAAUGCAGAACUUAUUAUUUAUAGACUUUUUGAUGAUUUACAAUGAAAUACUGAUAUAGAAACAGAUGUUUAAAAGAAAACUGUAUAGCUUGUCUCACUUAAGUAACGUAGCCUAAGUUUCUUAAACCCAAGAUCUCAUUUUAGCUACCUAGGUAUAUUGUCCAGAGUACUGAAUAUGAGCACAUUUCACAUGACAGGCUCUUAAAUGCAAGUGUGUGUGCGUGUAUGUGUCUGUGGUGUGUGUGUGUGUGUGUGUAGUCCUUGCAUUGCCUGGCAUCUUGUUACAGUAAUUCAUGCACAUAAGAACCAUGUCCUUGCUUUGCCUUGCCUGGUAGAGAACUAUGCAAAGCAAGAACAAGGCUCCAGUAUGAACAAGUUUGUAUUAGCAUGGUAUCAUGAAAUGUAAGAACUCCCUGUGUAUGCUGUAUGUACCCUUUCCUUCUUAAAAUAUGCCCAGCACCCUUCUAUGUCUUUGUCUUCUCAUUAGUCUUGGAAAUACUGGUCAUAGGUCCUCAUGGGGAACUAACUUCUCUAAGCUUUCAGGUUGUAUCAUCCAGCCCAUUGGCAGCUACUUAGGAAGCUUUUUAUACUCUACCCUGAAGUGUGGUGUUUUAACUAGGUCUGAAAGCAGAGGAGUGACCCAGUAGAGGGUCACUGACCAAAAUGAGAAAUGAGGUGGUUGAGAAAAUCUGAAAAGAUGCACAAGGUUUCAGGUAUAAUACAUUUGUCUAAUAUCUCCCAAGAUUGCAAAUAAGUUUCCCUAAGUAGUCUUAUGAUUAUUUUAUUAUCUUGGGCACUUCAGUAUAGGGGAAAGAAGGGCAGAGUAUGGUGAAUGGCAGAGCAGAAGAUGCCUAAAUAGUUGGGAAAAAUAAUCCUGUGACUGGAAAACUGCAUUAAAAAUAAUAUCUGGCCAGGCGCGGUGGCUCACGCCUGUAAUCCCAGCACUUUGGGAGGCUGAGGCAGACGGAUCACGAGGUCAGGAGAUCAAGACCAUCCUGGCUAACAUGGUGAAACCCCAUCUCUACUAAAAAUACAAAACAAAUUAGCCGGGCAUGGUGAUGGGUGCCUGUGGUCCCAGCUACUCGGGAGGCUAAGGCAGGAGAAUGGUGUGAACCCGGGAGGCGGAGCUUGCAGUAAGCCGAGAUCAUACCACUGCACUCCAGCCUGGGUGACAGAGUGAGACUCCAUCUCAAAAAAUAAUAAUAAUAAUAAUAUCUUGUUGAUACAUCCUUCUUUUGUGAUUGGGGGAAAUGGUGACUUAAUCCCUAAAGGAAUCAUGUAAUAUGUAGACCUUUGAAUAUGGCUUUUUUCAUUUAGCCUGUUUUUAAGGUUCAUUCUUGUUGUGAUAUAUAUAUUUUUGAAAUAGGUUCUCACUCUGUUUUCCAGGCUGGAGUGCAGCAUUGUGAUCUUGACUCACUGCAGUGUCGACCUCCUGAGCUCAACUGUUUCUUUAUAUUUCUGAGUAGUAUUUUCUUGUAUAGAUAUCAAAUCUUCUUUAUCUUCUUUUUUUUUUUUUUUUUUUUUUUUUUUAGACAGAGUCUCGCUCUGCACACCCAGGCUGGAGUGCAGUGGUGCUAUCUCGGCUCACUGUAAGCUCUGCCACCCGAGUUCACGCCAUUCUUCUGCCUCAGCCUCCCGAGUAGCUGGGACUACAGGCGUCCGCCACCACGCCCAGCUACUUUUUUGUAUUUUUAGUAGAGGCAGGGUUUCACC
rnacentral:lncRNA from 1 species